UUUUAUAAACCGGACCUUUGCAAUGUGAACUGAGCUGCACCAGGCAGGCAGGGACAGCAAGAUGGUGUCACAGACCCAAGUCCUCUUGUUCCUGUUGCUCUGGGUCUCUGGUGCCUGUGGGGACAUCGUGAUGACCCAGUCCCUGAGGUCCCUGGCUGUGUCUCCAGGAGAGAGGGUCACCAUCGACUGCAAGUCCAGCCAGAGUCUUUUAUCCAACAAUAAGAACUACUUAGCCUGGCACCAGCAGAAACCAGGACAGGCUCCUAAGCUGCUCAUCUACUGGGCAUCCACCCGGGCAUCUGGGGUCCCCGACCGAUUCAGUGGCAGUGGGUCUGGGACAGACUUCACUCUCACCAUCAGCAGCGUACAGGCUGAAGACGUGGCCGUCUAUUACUGUCAGCAGUAUCACAGCACUCCUCCCACAGUGCGACAGACUCGAGCACAAACCUCCUCCCCGGCCACAGAUCAACCGCUGAGCUGGAAGCCGAUUGACAGGAAUCCUGGAUCCAGCCCUGAUGGCUGCUGGUUCCAGUCCUCUAGUUCAGCUCUCAGAGAUGGGGUCAGGGCUCCCCUUUUGUGGAUCCUCCUGCUCUGGGUUCCAGGCUCCUCUGGGGACAUUGUGCUGACCCAGUCUCCAGCGUCCCUGGUGGUGUCUCCAGGGGAGAGGGCCACCAUCUCCUGCAGGGCCAGCCAAAGUGUUAAUGUGAUGUUUGGCAUUGUGAGCUCUAUGAGCUGGUAUCAGCAGAAACCAGGGCAAGCCCCUAAACUCCUGAUCUAUGGAGCAUGCAGUCGAGGCUCUGGGGUCCGGUGGCAGUGGGUCCGGGACAGAUUUCACCCUCACGAUGCACCCUGUGGAGGCCGAUGAUGCUGCGAACUAUUACUGUCAGCAGGGGAAGCAAAAGAAGACAAGGAAGUAUGUGACCAUGAAGUGAAUGCUUAGUCUCCGAGAUCAGAUGCUUAAAGAAAAGGGUAGAUUAAAACUUAGAAAGAAAGAUCCCAGCACACUAAAGGAAAGAGAAGUCUCCCAACACUCCUCCUGCUUAUUAUUCUUCCAAUAUAAUACACAGCUGGGCCUACCUUACUAUGCCUUGGUUGAUUCCAACUUUAUCUGCUUUUCCGUUAAAGCCAAACUGUAUUUAGUGCAGUCAACGAUGGACUGUCUGUGUGCCAAGUGUAUUCCUUGUACAACUGACUGUGUAGUGGCUGAAACUGAGAAAUAAGGGCAGAAGUAUCGAGUGACCCUCAACAUUGCCAAUGAUUCAAGAGUUGAACAGUAACCAUGCACACACAAAAGAACCUAUGCAGAUGACUGCUUAGUACAGACAGUAACUCAGCACAAGUGUUACAUUGUGGCCACAGUUGACCUAGACCUUAAAGGAAGAAUCUGUAAAGUCCCUGGAGUUCCUAUCAUGAACCUUUCUUACCUUAGAUACAGUAUUGAACAGAUGCCAGGUGAGGACUUUAGAAGCAUCUAUAAUGAAAGCACUUGUGAAGUUAAGAUCGGCAUCCUCCUCAGGUGCCAGGUUAACCCUGCAAUGAGCAACAGGCCGGCUCUUCUGCAGCACCCACAGCAGCAGCUGUGGCCAGAGCAGCUGGAGCAGAUGCCAAAAGAGAAGUACUGUGGGAUGACAAUGGAGAGAAACACAGGAAGAGAAAAGCAGCUGUCUGGUCAUGAUGGCAGAAUU